UACGUAGGGGGCAAGCGUUGUCCGGAAUCAUUGGGCGUAAAGCGCGUGUAGGUGGCUCGAUAAGUCUGCUGUGAAAGUCCAGGGCUCAACCCUGGGAUGCCGGUGGAUACUGUCGAGCUCGAGUCCGGAAGAGGCGAGUGGAAUUCCUGGUGUAGCGGUGAAAUGCGCAGAUAUCAGGAGGAACACCAAUGGCGAAGGCAGCUCGCUGGGACGUGACUGACGCUGAGACGCGAAAGCGUGGGGAGCAAACAGG
rnacentral:rRNA from 1 species